rnacentral:rRNA from 1 species
UCAAGUGACCAAGCGCACAUGGCGGAUGCCUUGGCGGCAACAGGCGAUGAAAGACGUGUAAGCCUGCGAUAAGUCUCGGGGAGCUGGCAAUAGAGCUUUGAUCCGGGAAUUUCUGAAUGGGGAAACCCACCCGCAAGGGUACUCCCUGCUGAAUACAUAGGCAGGGUAGAGCGAACGCAGUGAAUUGAAACAUCUCAGUAGCUGCAGGAAAAGACAUCAACCGAGAUUCCCAAAGUAGUGGCGAGCGAAAUGGGAAGAGCCUUCACGAUUUAGCUGUUGACAUAACCAAACGGUCUGGAAAGUCCGACGAUACUGGGUGAUAGUCCCGUAGGUGAAAUGUUGGCGGUGGAACUAGGCGUGAGAGAAGUAGGGCGGGACACGUGAAAUCCUGUCUGAAGAUGGGGGGACCAUCCUCCAAGGCUAAAUACUCGUGAUCGACCGAUAGUGAACCAGUACCGUGAGGGAAAGGCGAAAAGAACCCCGGGAGGGGAGUGAAAUAGAUCCUGAAACCGCAUGCAUACAAACAGUGGGAGCCUCGAAAGGGGUGACUGCGUACCUUUUGUAUAAUGGGUCAGCGACUUACGUUCAGUUGCGAGCUUAACCGAAUAGGGAAGGCGUAGGGAAACCGAGUCUGAUAAGGGCGUUUAGUAGCUGGGCGUAGACCCGAAACCGGAUGAUCUAGUCAUGGCCAGGAUGAAGGUGGGGUAACACCUACUGGAGGUCCGAACCGACUGUUGUUGCAAAAACAGCGGAUGAGUUGUGACUAGGGGUGAAAGGCUAAACAAAUCCGGAGAUAGCUGGUUCUCCUCGAAAACUAUUGAGGUAGUGCCUCGUGUAUAUCCACUGGGGGUAGAGCACUGUAAUGGCUAGGGGGACAUGUAGUCUUACCAAACCAUAGCAAACUCCGAAUACCAGUGAGAGUGAGCACGGGAGACAGUCCUCGGGUGCUAACGUCCGAGGGCAAGAGGGAAACAACCCAGACCGCCAGCUAAGGUCCCCAAGAUAUGGCUAAGUGGGAAACGAAGUGGGAAGGCAUAGACAGUCAGGAUGUUGGCUUAGAAGCAGCCAUCAUUUAAAGAAAGCGUAAUAGCUCACUGAUCGAGUCGUCCUGCGCGGAAGAUGUAACGGGGCUCAAGCCAUACACCGAAGCUGCGGAUCGUAGCAAUACGAUGGUAGAGGAGCGUUCUGUAAGCCUGUGAAGGUGUCUCGUAAGGGAUGCUGGAGGUAUCAGAAGUGCGAAUGCUGACAUGAGUAGCGAUAAAGGGAGUGAAAAGCUCCCUCGCCGAAAGCCCAAGGUUUCCUGCGCAACGUUCAUCGGCGCAGGGUGAGUCGGCCCCUAAGGCGAGGCAGAGAUGCGUAGUCGAUGGGAAGCUGGUUAAUAUUCCAGCACCGAUUGUUGAUGCGAUGGGGGGACGGAGAAAGCUAACCGAGCUGAGUGUUGGAUUACUCAGUGAAAGCCUGUAGACGUGCUGCUUAGGUAAAUCCGGGCGGCUUAGUUGAGGGGUGAGACGAAACGCUCUUCGGAGUGCCAAGUCGGUGAUGCUCUGCUUCCAAGAAAAGCCUCUAAGCUUCAGUCAACAAUUGACCGUACCGCAAACCGACACUGGUGGGUAGGAUGAAAAUUCUAAGGCGCUUGAGAGAACUCUGGAGAAGGAACUCGGCAAAUUGAUACCGUAACUUCGGGAGAAGGUAUGCCCUGGUAGAUUGUAGGAGUACAUCCGAAGGUCGAGAGGGUCGCAGAGAAUCGGUGGCUGCAACUGUUUACCAAAAACACAGGACUCUGCUAACACGAAAGUGGAUGUAUAGGGUCUGACGCCUGCCCGGUGCUGGAAGAUUAAAUGAUGGGGUGCAAGCUCUUGAUUGAAGUCCCAGUAAACGGCGGCCGUAACUAUAACGGUCCUAAGGUAGCGAAAUUCCUUGUCGGGUAAGUUCCGACCCGCACGAAUGGCGUAAUGAUGGCCACACUGUCUCCUCCAGAGACUCAGCGAAGUUGAAGUGUUUGUGAUGAUGCAAUCUCCCCGCGGCAAGACGGAAAGACCCCAUGAACCUUUACUGUAGCUUUGCAUUGGACUUUGAACCGGUUUGUGUAGGAUAGGUGGGAGACUGUGAAGCCGGGACGCUAGUUUCGGUGGAGUCAACCUUGAAAUACCACCCUGAUUUGUUUGAGGUUCUAACCUUGGUCCGUGAAUCCGGAUCGGGGACCGUGCAUGGUAGGCAGUUUGACUGGGGCGGUCUCCUCCCAAAAGGUAACGGAGGAGUACGAAGGUACGCUAGGUACGGUCGGACAUCGUGCUAAUAGUGCAAUGGCAUAAGCGUGCUUAACUGCGAGACUGACAAGUCGAGCAGAUGCGAAAGCAGGACAUAGUGAUCCGGUGGUUCUGUAUGGAAGGGCCAUCGCUCAACGGACAAAAGGUACUCUGGGGAUAACAGGCUGAUACCGCCCAAGAGUUCAUAUCGACGGCGGUGUUUGGCACCUCGAUGUCGGCUCAUCUCAUCCUGGGGCUGUAGCCGGUCCCAAGGGUAUGGCUGUUCGCCAUUUAAAGAGGUACGUGAGCUGGGUUCAAAACGUCGUGAGACAGUUUGGUCCCUAUCUGCCGUGGGCGCUGGAAAUUUGACGGGGCCUGUUCCUAGUACGAGAGGACCGGAAUGGACGUACCGCUGGUGUACCUGUUGUUUCGCCAGAAGCAUCGCAGGGUAGCUAUGUACGGAAGAGAUAACCGCUGAAAGCAUCUAAGCGGGAAACUCGCCCGAAGAUUAGAUUUCCCCGGGGGCUCGACCCCCCUGAAGAGCCGUUCAAGACCAGGACGUUGAUAGGUCAGGUGUGGAAGCGCAGUAAUGCGUUGAGCUAACUGAUACUAAUUACUCGUGCGGCUUGAUCCU